rnacentral:rRNA from 1 species
GACGAACGCUGGCGGCGUGCUUAACACAUGCAAGUCGAACGGAAAGGCCCUGCUUUUGUGGGGUGCUCGAGUGGCGAACGGGUGAGUAACACGUGAGUAACCUGCCCUUGACUUUGGGAUAACUUCAGGAAACUGGGGCUAAUACCGGAUAGGAGCUCCUGCUGCAUGGUGUGGGUUGGAAAGUUUCGGCGGUUGGGGAUGGACUCGCGGCUUAUCAGCUUGUUGGUGUGGUAGUGGCUUACCAAGGCUUUGACGGGUAGCCGGCCUGAGAGGGUGACCGGCCACAUUGGGACUGAGAUACGGCCCAGAAUCCUACGGGAGGCAGCAGUGGGGAAUAUUGCACAAUGGGCGGAAGCCUGAUGCAGAAACGCCGCGUGCGGGAUGACGGCCUUCGGGUUGUAAACCGCUGUCGCAUGUGACGAAGAGUGAGUGACGGUAAUGGGUAAAGAAGCACCGGCUAACUACGUG